rnacentral:rRNA from 1 species
ACAGCAGUAGCCACGGUAAUACGUAGGUCCCGAGCGUUGUCCGGAUUUAUUGGGCGUAAAGCGAGCGCAGGCGGUUAGAUAAGUCUGAAGUUAAAGGCUGUGGCUUAACCAUAGUACGCUUUGGAAACUGUUUAACUUGAGUGCAAGAGGGGAGAGUGGAAUUCCAUGUGUAGCGGUGAAAUGCGUAGAUAUAUGGAGGAACACCGGUGGCGAAAGCGGCUCUCUGGCUUGUAACUGACGCUGAGGCUCGAAAGCGUGGGGAGCAAACAGGAUUAGAUACCCGAGUAGUCCCUGUCUCUUAUACA